rnacentral:rRNA from 1 species
GACGUAGGGCGCGAGCGUUGUCCGGAUUUAUUGGGCGUAAAGAGCUCGUAGGCGGCUCGUUGCGUCCAUCGUGAAAACUCAGGGCUUAACUCUGAGCUUGCGGUGGAUACGGGCGGGCUAGAGUUCGGUAGGGGAGACUGGAAUUCCUGGUAUAGCGGUGAAAUGCGCAGAUAUCAGGAGGAACACCGAUGGCGAAGGCAGUGUUCUGGGCCAGUACUGACGCUGAGGAGCGAAAGCGUGGGGAGCAAACAGG